GCUAUAAUAUGAAGGUUUAUAACCCCUGAUGCACGCCCAGCUAUAAUAUGAAGGUUUAUAACACCUUAAUACACAUUAUAACCCCCUGAUGCACGCCCAGCUAUAAUAUGAAGGUUUAUAACACCUUAAUACACAUUAUAACCCCCUGAUGCACGCCCAGCUAUAAUAUGAAGGUUUAUAACCCCCUGAUGCACGCCCAGCUAUAAUAUGAAGGUUUAUAACCCCUGAUGCACGCCCAGCUAUAAUAUGAAGGUUUAUAACCCCCUGAUGCACGCCCAGCUAUAAUAUGAAGGUUUAUAACCCCCUGAUGCACGCCCAGCUAUAAUAUGAAGGUUUAUAACACCUUAAUACACAUUAUAACCCCCUGAUGCACGCCCAGCUAUAAUAUGAAGGUUUAUAACCCCUGAUGCACGCCCAGCUAUAAUAUGAAGGUUUAUAACACCUUAAUACACAUUAUAACCCCCUGAUGCACGCCCAGCUAUAAUAUGAAGGUUUAUAACACCUUAAUACACAUUAUAACCCCCUGAUGCACGCCCAGCUAUAAUAUGAAGGUUUAUAACCCCCUGAUGCACGCCCAGCUAUAAUAUGAAGGUUUAUAACCCCCUGAUGCACGCCCAGCUAUAAUAUGAAGGUUUAUAACCCCCUGAUGCACGCCCAGCUAUAAUAUGAAGGUUUAUAACCCCCUGAUGCACGCCCAGCUAUAAUAUGAAGGUUUAUAACACCUUAAUACACAUUAUAACCCCCUGAUGCACGCCCAGCUAUAAUAUGAAGGUUUAUAACCCCCUGAUGCACGCCCAGCUAUAAUAUGAAGGUUUAUAACCCCCUGAUGCACGCCCAGCUAUAAUAUGAAGGUUUAUAACACCUUAAUACACAUUAUAACCCCCUGAUGCACGCCCAGCUAUAAUAUGAAGGUUUAUAACCCCCUGAUGCACGCCCAGCUAUAAUAUGAAGGUUUAUAAGACCUUAAUACACAUUAUAACCCCCUGAUGCACGCCC